ensembl:lncRNA
AGCAUAGCCAUUUUUAGAAAAACUUAAACCAAGGUAUUUUCAGGAUGUAUUUAGGAACAUUUUAGGAAAUGGAUGAGGCUGACAGGAAACUGUGGAAGUGUAGGAUUUUUAAGAGCUAAUUGAGAGUAGCACAGUGCUAAUUUUGGAAUGCAUUAUCUAUUUACUUCAGGAAAUGCACAUUUAAAGCCUUUACAAAGAGCUAUUUGGAGGUGAAGCUAUAUCAUUAGAAAGGAAAAGAAGAAGAAGGCAUGUAGUAUUUAUGUAGCAUUUAGACAUCUGGAGGUGAUCAUUGCCUCCUGUCUGUUUGCUUUUCUCUUUGUUUGUUUUAUUCUUCUUUUACUAUUUCACAUUUUUUAACCAUCCAUCCCACCCACCCACCUCACACACAUCAAGCUGUGCAGGACUAGGCACAUCCUCUCCCACUGAGGCCAGAUAAGGCUGUCCAUUUAGGGGCUUGGGAUCUGCAGACAGGCAGGCAGGCAGACAGGCAGGCAGGCAGGCAGGCAGGCAGGCAGGCAGGCAGGCAGGCAGGCGGACGGCUCAGGGACAGCCCCUGCUCCAGUUGUUUGAGGGGCCCAAAUGAAGACCAAGCUGCAUAUCUGCUACAUAUGUACAGGAAGCCUAGGUCCAGCCUGUGCUCCCACUUUGGUUGGUGAUUCAGUCUGUGGGAGCCCACAAGGGUCCAGGUUAGUUGACUCUGUUGGUCUUUACUGCCCUCUUUGGGUCCCUCAAUCUUUCUCCUAACUCAGUAAGAUCCCUGGGCUCCAUCUCUUUGGCUGUGGGUCUCUGCAUCUGUUUCCAUUGGCUGCUGGGUGGAGCCUCUCAGAGGUCAGUUAUGCUAGGCUCCUGUCUGCAAGCAUCACAGAGUGUCAUUAGUAGUGUCAGGAUUCCACCUGCCCAUCUGUUUGCUUUUUUCGGCAAUAAGAUGUAUACUUUCUCUCUGUGUGUAUGCAUGUAUGGGUGUUUAUUUGUGCAUGUGCAGGCCAGAGGGUAACCUCAGAUGUCAUCCUCAAGAGACUUCUCCUUUGUUUUCAGAAAAGGGCCUUGGAUUAGGCUAUAGCUGGGCAGUCCAGGGACCCACCUUCCUCCCUCCCCCUCCCCGGUGUCUGAAUUAUAAGCACAUGUCACUACACUUGGUGUUGCUUUCCUGUGUUGUUUAUUUGUUUUGUUUUUCCUGUGGGUUCUGAGGAUCAGAUCCAGGUACCCAUGCUUGCAUGGUAAGUAAUACACUGACUCCGCCUCUUCUCCAACCCAAGAUGAAAGUUCUUACCUAAGUCAGACAGGUGACAAGUGUGUCAUAACACUAGAGAAAAAGAUAAUUCAAGUUUAGAGCAAAUGGAUGGCUGUUUGAAGUGUGUUUAUAACCUUUAAAAUCUAAGUGUCACUAAAUAACUUUUCUUCUGUCUACCAAAAGUGCGUGUUAGGUUAAACUUCUGUAGCUAUUCUGGUUUUAGUUGUUAGAGACAAGCAGAGUAUUUUUGCCUGCGUCUCGCUUGGCCACUUACAGGUGUUCUUAGCAUUCAAAGCAUGAAUCCCUCUGACUUCCUGGCCUCCAUAAAAAGCAACGUCGCAAACCUCACAUUUAGUUCUGCAGGCUGUUGUGUGAAGUAACUGAUGAGAAAUUUUCUCAUGUUUUUCCCAUAAGAAUUAUGAUUUUUAGUCAAGCAGUUGUGGCACAUGCCUUUAAUCCAGCAUUCGGGAGACAGAGGCAGGCUGAUCUCUUGAGUUCGAGGCCAGUCUGAUCCAUAGAGCAAGGUCCAGAACAGUCAGAGUUAAACAGAGAAACCCUGUCUCAAAACAACAACAACAACAAAAGAUUUAGAGUGGUCUUUCAUAAUGCCUUUGGCUGGGUUGUGCUGCGCGACACUUGGCGGGCUGAUGUGUCGUGGGGUGGGCUCUCCUCCAGGAGCCUCCUUGUGCUUGUCACACACGUGAAGGCUGUGGUCUUCUCCACAAUUUAGCUGACUGCAACAAUUAAGUGGUAAGUAUCUGAAACCAGGAAAAAUAUCAUUAAAUUCAUAUUUUUCUCUCUUUCCAUUAUAGAUUAAAGAGUCUAUUGUUGGGGAAAUUAGACGAGAAAUUGUAAGUGGACUUUUGGCAGCAGUGUCUUCAAGUAAAGCAUCUGCUUCUAAGCAGGACAGCCACUGAGUGGGACAUACUCGGGUUGGGAUGCAUUCCCUUAGCCUACACAGGUGUUGUUGGUGAUUUAUGCUGGUGAAGGUGUCUGUCCUAUGGAAGAUAUUUUCUACUGAGCUGGGCUACUUACACAGUGGACUAUGUGCAUUUCUGUAUGCAGUGUACAGGUUACGGUUCUAUGCAUCAAAAUUUUAAAAAAUAUACUUAGAAACGUAGGCACUUUGCUGACUCAUUUCUAAACUAUCAGACUGGCCAUUUGAAAGACUAGUA